rnacentral:rRNA from 1 species
CAGCUCUCCGAGUGGUAGGGAUGAUUAUUGGGCUUAAAGCGUCCGUAGCCGGCUUAGCAAGUCUCCUGUUAAAUUCAGCGACCUAAUCGUUGAGCCGCGGGAGACACUACUAGGCUAGGAGGCGGGAGAGGCCGACGGUAUUCUCGGGGUAGGGGUGAAAUCCUAUAAUCCCGGGAGGACCACCAGUGGCGAAGGCUGUCGACUAGAACGCGCUCGACGGUGAGGGACGAAAGCUGGGGGAGCGAACCGGAUUAGAUACCCGUGUAGUCC